rfam:Daphnia pulex DAPPTscaffold_3133_Cont14700, whole genome shotgun sequence.
GCAUCAAUGGUUCAGUGGUAGAGUGCUCGCCUCCUACGCGGGCGGCCCGGGUUCGAUUCCCGGUCGAUGCA